rnacentral:rRNA from 1 species
UGGCGAACGGGUGCGUAACACGUGAGCAACCUGCCCCAAAGACUGGGAUAACCCCGGGAAACCGGAGCUAAUACCGGAUACCCCCACCGGGUCACAUGGCCUGAUGAGGAAAUGAAUUUCGCUUUGGGAGGGGCUCGCGGCCUAUCAGCUUGUUGGUGGGGUAACGGCCCACCAAGGCUACGACGGGUAGCUGGUCUGAGAGGACGAUCAGCCACACUGGGACUGAGAUACGGCCCAG